ACGCACGCUGGCGGCGUGCUUCACACCUGCCAGUCGCACGGAAAGGCCCUGCUUGCAGGGUACUCGAGUGGCGAACGGGUGAGUAACACGUGGGUGAUCUGCCCUGCACUUCGGGAUAAGCCUGGGAAACUGGGUCUAAUACCGGAUAGGAGCCAUUUUUAGUGUGAUGGUUGGAAAGUUUUUUCGGUGUAGGAUGAGCUCGCGGCCUAUCAGCUUGUUGGUGGGGUAAUGGCCUACCAAGGCGGCGACGGGUAGCCGGCCUGAGAGGGUGGACGGCCACAGUGGGACUGAGAUACGGCCCAGACUCCUACGGGAGGCAGCAGUGGGGAAUAUUGCACAAUGGGCGCAAGCCUGAUGCAGCGACGCCGCGGGGGGGAGGACGGCCUUCGGGUUGUAAACUCCUUUCGCUAGGGACGAAGCUUUUUGUGACGGUACCUAGAGAAGAAGCACCGGCUAACUACGUG
rnacentral:rRNA from 1 species